rnacentral:rRNA from 1 species
ACAGGUGGUCAGGUAGAGAAUACCAAGGCGCUUGAGAGAACUCGGGUGAAGGAACUAGGCAAAAUGGUGCCGUAACUUCGGGAGAAGGCACGCUGAUAUGUAGGUGAAGUCCCUCGCGGAUGGAGCUGAAAUCAGUCGAAGAUACCAGCUGGCUGCAACUGUUUAUUAAAAACACAGCACUGUGCAAACACGAAAGUGGACGUAUACGGUGUGACGCCUGCCCGGUGCCGGAAGGUUAAUUGAUGGGGUUAGCCGCAAGGCGAAGCUCUUGAUCGAAGCCCCGGUAAACGGCGGCCGUAACUAUAACGGUCCUAAGGUAGCGAAAUUCCUUGUCGGGUAAGUUCCGACCUGCACGAAUGGCGUAAUGAUGGCCAGGCUGUCUCCACCCGAGACUCAGUGAAAUUGAACUCGCUGUGAAGAUGCAGUGUACCCGCGGCAAGACGGAAAGACCCCGUGAACCUUUACUAUAGCUUGACACUGAACAUUGAGCCUUGAUGUGUAGGAUAGGUGGGAGGCUUAGAAGUGUGGACGCCAGUCUGCAUGGAGCCGACCUUGAAAUACCACCCUUUAAUGUUUGAUGUUCUAACGUUGACCCGUAAUCCGGGUUGCGGACAGUGUCUGGUGGGUAGUUUGACUGGGGCGGUCUCCUCCUAAAGAGUAACGGAGGAGCACGAAGGUUGGCUAAUCCUGGUCGGACAUCAGGAGGUUAGUGCAAUGGCAUAAGCCAGCUUGACUGCGAGCGUGACGGCGCGAGCAGGUGCGAAAGCAGGUCAUAGUGAUCCGGUGGUUCUGAAUGGAAGGGCCAUCGCUCAACGGAUAAAAGGUACUCCGGGGAUAACAGGCUGAUACCGCCCAAGAGUUCAUAUCGACGGCGGUGUUUGGCACCUCGAUGUCGGCUCAUCACAUCCUGGGGCUGAAGUAGGUCCCAAGGGUAUGGCUGUUCGCCAUUUAAAGUGGUACGCGAGCUGGGUUUAGAACGUCGUGAGACAGUUCGGUCCCUAUCUGCCGUGGGCGCUGGAGAACUGAGGGGGGCUGCUCCUAGUACGAGAGGACCGGAGUGGACGCAUCACUGGUGUUCGGGUUGUCAUGCCAAUGGCACUGCCCGGUAGCUAAAUGCGGAAGAGAUAAGUGCUGAAAGCAUCUAAGCACGAAACUUGCCCCGAGAUGAGUUCUCCCUGACUCCUUGAGAGUCCUGAAGGAACGUUGAAGACGACGACGUUGAUAGGCCGGGUGUGUAAGCGCAGCGAUGCGUUGAGCUAACCGGUACUAAUGAACCGUGAGGCUUAACCUUACAACGCCGAAGGUGUUU